GAUGAACGCUGGCGGCGUGCCUAAUACAUGCAAGUCGAGCGAACAGACGAGGAGCUUGCUCCUCUGACGUUAGCGGCGGACGGGUGAGUAACACGUGGAUAACCUACCUAUAAGACUGGGAUACCUUCGGGAACCCGGAGCUAAUACCGGAUAAUAUAUUGAACCGCAUGGUUCAAUAGUGAAAGACGGUUUUGCUGUCACUUAUAGAUGGAUCCGCGCCGCAUUAGCUAGUUGGUAAGGUAACGGCUUACCAAGGCAACGAUGCGUAGCCGACCUGAGAGGGUGAUCGGCCACACUGGAACUGAGACACGGUCCAGACUCCUACGGGAGGCAGCAGUAGGGAAUCUUCCGCAAUGGGCGAAAGCCUGACGGAGCAACGCCGCGUGAGUGAUGAAGGUCUUCGGAUCGUAAAACUCUGUUAUUAGGGAAGAACAAAUGUGUAAGUAACUAUGCACGUCUUGACGGUACCUAAUCAGAAAGCCACGGCUAACUACGUG
rnacentral:rRNA from 1 species